rfam:Perkinsela sp. CCAP 1560/4 XT18scaffold_49, whole genome shotgun sequence.
AGCACGGUGGCGCAGUGGCUAGCGCGGUGGGCUCAUAACCCACAGGUCGUAGGAUCGAAACCUACCUGUGCUA